AUUGAACGCUGGCGGCAGGCCUAACACAUGCAAGUCGAGCGAGAGGCGGCCGGGUGAGUAAUGUCUGGGAAACUGCCUGAUGGAGGGGGAUAACAACUGGAAACGGUAGCUAAUACCGCAUGCCAUCAAAUGUGCUCAGAUGGGAUUAGCUAGUAGGUGGGGUAACGGCGCACCUGGGCGACGAUCCCUAGCUGGUCUGAGAGGAUGACCAGCCACACUGGAAGUGAGACACGGUCCAGAUGCCGACGCGAGGCAGCAGUGGGGAAUAUUGCACAAUGGGCGAAAGCCUGAUGCAGCCAUGCCGCGUGUGUGAAGAAGGCCUUCGGGUUGUAAAGCACUUUCAGCGGGGAGGCGUUACCCGCAGAAGAAGCACCGGCUAACUCCGUGCCAGCAGCCGCGGUAAUUA
rnacentral:rRNA from 1 species